UACGUAGGGGGCCAGCGUUGUCCGGAAUCAUUUGGCGUAAAGAGCGUGUAGGCGGCCCGAUAAGUCCGCUGUGAAAGUCCAGGGCUCAACCCUGGGAUGCCGGUGGAUACUGUCGGGCUCGAGUCCGGAAGAGGCGAGUGGAAUUCCUGGUGUAGCGGUGAAAUGCGCAGAUAUCAGGAGGAACACCAAUGGCGAAGGCAGCUCGCUGGGACGUGACUGACGCUGAGACGCGAAAGCGUGGGGAGCAAACAGG
rnacentral:rRNA from 1 species